GAAGCGCUCCGGGCCGAAUCGCGCAGGGCAGUCCAUAUAUGGGUCGAUAGUCCCGAAUCCAAACCACGGUCCUCAGUCCGUAUAUGGAGAGCCGAGAUUUGUAACCCGUCUUCUUCCUUCAUGGCUUAUCAAACACGGUAGCAACUGUCUCCAGGACCACCCACCCACAAUCUCCAAACCCUUGCCUUAUCAGAGGAGCGUUGUUCAGGCUGCGAGGGAUUACACUAACCGUAUGGUUUUUUCACACCAGUCCUAUAUCACAGUGCGGAUUACGCAUCAGGAAGAAACAAGGAACUUGAAGACACAGCGACCAUCUGCUCCCUCCACUGGUGUUCCCAGAUUAGCUGUCGUUUGCAGACAGGGCAGUUAAACUCAGGUCCUGGUGGACUGCAGCCAUCUGCAGCCAAUUAUACUCACGAUUCUACCUACAUAAGACCUUGUUGAAUACACUAAAAAGGGAAGUGCACAGUAUUUAGGAUAUUGAUUUCAUGAAGGCAUUUGGAAUUGGCUCAUAACCAGUACACAGAAACUUCACAGGACAUGAUAGUACAACCUGAGGCUAUAUUAGAUGCCUCCUCUUCUAAAAUGUAAUUCAUCUUUUUUUGUCACAUGUUUGCUAAGUACAUUCCUAAGAUAACUGACUGCUUUAGGGAAGUUUUAGUGCUGAAUAAUGUAACCACCCCCCCCCCCCCACACACACACACACACCCACAUACCCCCUUACACUAUAUUUGUGCAUCUGACAAAUAUUUGAAUCUCUCUCAGGCACACACAGAACAAUACAUUUAUUAUGUGCAUCUGACAAAUACAAUUCAAAUCCCCCCCCCCAUACACCCUCUUACAUUUAUUAUAUUUGUGCAUCUGAAAAAAAAACUUAGCAGACACUCUUUUAUAGAGCAACAUAUGAGAACAGACAUACAUUUAAGCUUCAAGAAUGUAACAUGUCCUUAUCAAUUAAAAAAACCCAGCAUUCAAUGUGCAUAUGAAACAGAAGCAGAUAAAAAAAUUGAAAGUUUAUUAGAAAAUGCAA